GAUGAACGCUGGCGGCGUGCCUAAUACAUGCAAGUCGAGCGAACAGACGAGGAGCUUGCUCCUCUGACGUUAGCGGCGGACGGGUGAGUAACACGUGGAUAACCUACCUAUAAGACUGGGAUAACUUCGGGAAACCGGAGCUAAUACCGGAUAAUAUAUUGAACCGCAUGGUUCAAUAGUGAAAGACGGUUUUGCUGUCACUUAUAGAUGGAUCCGCGCCGCAUUAGCUAGUUGGUAAGGUAACGGCUUACCAAGGCAACGAUGCGUAGCCGACCUGAGAGGGUGACCGGCCACACUGGAACUGAGACACGGUCCAGACGCCUACGGGAGGCAGCAGUAGGGAAUCUUCCGCAAUGGGCGAAAGCCUGACGGAGCAACGCCGCGUGAGUGAUGAAGGUCUUCGGAUCGUAAAACUCUGUUAUUAGGGAAGAACAAAUGUGUAAGUAACUAUGCACGUCUUGACGGUACCUAAUCAGAAAGCCACGGCUAACUACGUG
rnacentral:rRNA from 1 species